AUUGAACGCUGGCGGCAGGCUUAACACAUGCAAGUCGAGCGGAGAUGAGGUGCUUGCACCUUAUCUUAGCGGCGGACGGGUGAGUAAUGCUUAGGAAUCUGCCUAUUAGUGGGGGACAACAUUCCGAAAGGAAUGCUAAUACCGCAUACGCCCUACGGGGCAAAGCAGGGGAUCUUCGGACCUUGCGCUAAUAGAUGAGCCUAAGUCGGAUUAGCUAGUUGGUGGGGUAAAGGCCUACCAAGGCGACGAUCUGUAGCGGGUCUGAGAGGAUGAUCCGCCACACUGGGACUGAGACACGGCCCAGACUCCUACGGGAGGCAGCAGUGGGGAAUAUUGGACAAUGGGCGGAAGCCCGAUCCAGCCAUGCCGCGUGUGUGAAGAAGGCCUUUUGGUUGUAAAGCACUUUAAGCGAGGAGGAGGCUACCUGGAUUAAUACUCUAGGAUAGUGGACGUUACUCGCAGAAUAAGCACCGGCUAACUCUGUGCCAGCCGCCGCGGUAACAC
rnacentral:rRNA from 1 species